rnacentral:rRNA from 1 species
UACGGAGGGUGCAAGCGUUAAUCGGAAUUACUGGGCGUAAAGCGUGCGUAGACGGUAGCGUAAGUCAGAUGUGAAAGCCCCGGGCUCAACCUGGGAAUUGCAUUUGAGACUGCUCUGCUCGGGUGCGGAAGAGGGAAGCGGAAUUUCCGGUGUAGCGGUGAAAUGCGUAGAUAUCGGAAGGAACACCAGUGGCGAAAGCGGCUUCCUGGUCCGACACCGACGUUCAGGCACGAAAGCGUGGGGAGCAAACAGG